ACAGCCACAUCACAUCGAAGCACUGGUUCCUGUACAAUCACUGAAGUUAAGCAGCAUCAAGCCUGGUCAGUACCUUGAUGGGUAACCAAUUGAGAAUACCAGGUGAUGUG